rnacentral:lncRNA from 1 species
GGGAGAUCAGUCUUAAAUCCAUCUCCCUGGCCACUAAAAUUAGGGGUUUAUGUAGCAGGGAAGAUGUGUAAUAAUGUGUAAGAAAGCAGGAACUAGGGAGGGGCAAGGAAGCAAUCAUGAUGAAUGAGGGCCUGGCAUCUCAUUGUCUGGAUAUGAUUAGCUGAUAAUUGGAGAGAAGAAAGAAAAUGCAGCCAAACAUGACUGAAAUGCUUAGAAACUGUUAGAGCACCCUGGGAUGUGUGGGCCUGGGACUGUUUGCCUUUGGCACGGCUAUGCUCAGAGCUUUGGAGGAGCCAAGGAAGAAAGGCCUAGUUCCUGAUCUUAAGGCCUUUGCAGUGUGCAUUGGGAGACAUAGACUGCAAUGAAAAGAUCAUUAUCGC